GAACGGGUGAGUAACGCGUGAGGAACCUGCCUCAAAGAGGGGGACAACAGUUGGAAACGACUGCUAAUACCGCAUAAGCCCACGGGUCGGCAUCGACCAGAGGGAAAAGGAGCAAUCCGCUUUGAGAUGGCCUCGCGUCCGAUUAGCUAGUUGGUGAGGCAAUGGCCCACCAAGGCGACGAUCGGUAGCUGGACUGAGAGGUUGAACGGCCACAUUGGGACUGAGACACGGCCCAGACUCCUACGGGAGGCAGCAGUGGGGAAUAUUGCACAAUGGGGGAAACCCUGAUGCAGCGACGCCGCGUGGAGGAAGAAGGUCUUCGGAUUGUAAACUCCUGUUGUUGAGGAAGAUAAUGACGGUACUCAACAAGGAAGUGACGGCUAACUACGUGCCAGCAGCCGCGGUAAAACGUAGGUCACAAGCGUUGUCCGGAAUUACUGGGUGUAAAGGGAGCGCAGGCGGGAAGACAAGUUGGAAGUGAAAUCUAUGGGCUCAACCCAUAAACUGCUUUCAAAACUGUUUUUCUUGAGUAGUGCAGAGGUAGGCGGAAUUCCCGGUGUAGCGGUGGAAUGCGUAGAUAUCGGGAGGAACACCAGUGGCGAAGGCGGCCUACUGGGCACCAACUGACGCUGAGGCUCGAAAGUGUGGGUAGCAAACAGGAUUAGAUACCCUGGUAGUCCACACCGUAAACGAUGAUUACUAGGUGU
rnacentral:rRNA from 1 species